AGCUCCUCCUUUGUGGCGCUCGCCGCCGGUAGGAGCACAGCCUGCUGCGCCACGACGUCGAGCUCAUCCGGCGGGAGGAGAACGAUCUGCUGCACCAUGGCGUCGAGCUCAUCUGGAGCCCACCGGCGGAACGGCGGCCCGCAGCAGUAGCGUCGUUUGUUCCUUGAGCUGCCGCACAUGAUGUCUUGUCGCUAGGAGGAGCGUGUAGGUACUCCACAUGAGUUUCACCUGUGUGUACCAGAAGCUGCUUGUGUAAAUGUCUACGAGCAAAGACUACUGAUGGAAGAUGACCAGCCGUGUGCAUCUUCUUUUGUUUGAAAAGGAUGAUUAGAUGCCAAAUUUGUCAGAUUCAUCUUCUCUAUUUAGAUCAGGGUCGCCUGGUCGGCACCAUCGCCGGGAGCAGCACUGCCUCAAGUCGUCGAUGCC